rnacentral:lncRNA from 1 species
CACCUGGCUCUAGAAGGUAGAAUGGAAAUUGUAACAACAAAAUCUUAACUAUAAUAGAAUACUAAUUAAAUUCUAAUUAGACCAUAAUAAUGCUAAGUAAGCUUUAAUCAAAUUCAAAGAAACCUCAAAGAAAUUUCAAAGAAAUAAUAAAAAAUCUUAAAGAAAUAUUAGAAUGACUACAAAUAUCUCUCAAAUAUAUCUCAAUUCAAUCUUAAUUUAAUUCUAAUUAAAAUUCUAUUGGACUUUAUUCAAACCUUAGGCCAAAACUAAUUAAAUCUUAAACCUAAAUAAAUCAUAAUAAAAUCCUAAACCCUAAAUCAAAUCCUAAAUCCUAAACCAAAUCCCAAAGUCUAAACCAAAUCCUAAUCAAAAUCUAAACCAAAUCCUAAACCCUAAACCAAAUCCUAACCAAACCCUAAUAAAAUUCUAAAUCCUAAAUAAAACCCUAAUCAAACUCUAAAUCCUAAACCAAAUCCUAAAUCCUAAACCAAAUCCUAAAUGAAAUCCUAACCAAACUCUAAACCCUAAACCAAAUCCUAAUCAAACUCUAAUUAAAUAUUAGUAAUUUUUAUAACAAAAUUAAACCUCAAUAACUAAUGUAUGAACCGUUGAUCUUAACUCAAAUUUUGCACAAUUCUUAAAAAUUAAGUUGAAAACAAGCACAAAAAAUUUGAAAAGGAUCGAAAUUACCAAAUAGACGAUAACCUCAAAAACGUGCUUAGGUGUUGGUCGGCCUCCUUCUCCAACCUUGAUGCUAACUUCUUAGAGCCAAUAUCUCUUGUUUUCACUAUUUGAUUGAUUUCAAAAUUCUCCUAUACAUAGAAAAAUAAGUCUUAUAUCCUUUCACAUAAAUUUCACUCCAAUCCAACUAGAAGAUUGCAAGAAAUCUUAAAAACCCUCACUAGACCUAAAAUUCUACUUUCUGAGACCUUGACUCACUUAAACCUCAAUGAUCCUUAAUUCAACCGUUAGAUCGAGCUCAAAUUCACAAUACAUAAUAAAACCAAUUAUAACCAUUAAUCUACAAAAUUUCACCUAUAGAUCUAUUACAAAACUCUUGAAAUCAUUCAAAAUGUAAAUCUUAUUUUAUUUCACAAAAUCCAAGUCAUCCAAAACAAACCUUGACUUUGCAAAGCUCUUCCUAAGUCAAUAUAGAUCCAAAUCAUCCAAAACCAAUACUCAUAGAAACCCUAUUCAAUCGUUUAUCAAAUCCCACUCUUCGAUCUGCCAAAAAGUUUCAAAGUCAUCAUCAAAACUCAGUUUUGUACCCCAGGGUCUGAUUUUGAUCCUAGAUCAUAACCGGCCCUCUCCGAGUAUCAAUAUCUAGUUUUUCUAAGUAAAUUUUGCUAGAAUUUACUCUUAACUUCCUUCUAAAGAUUCUUAUAUCAUUUAUUUCUCCAAUCUACUUUAUUUUGCCUAUUUAUGGUCCUAUUAAGUAAGUAGAAGUUACUUUUUUAAAAAAGUAAUAUUACUACUAAAAGUUUUACUACCUCCCUAUCUUUUAU